GAGCCGGGGCGAAUUGUUUCACUUUACAAACAUACACCACAAAGUUUAGUAGAAUGUAACCGCCGUUAAGGCAAAAACUUAAUACAACUUUCAACAACGGAUCUCUUGGCUCUCGCAUCGAUGAAGAACGCAGCGAAAUGCGAUAAGUAAUGUGAAUUGCAGAAUUCAGUGAAUCAUCGAAUCUUUGAACGCACCUUGCGCUCCUUGGUAUUCCGAGGAGCAUGCCUGUUUGAGUGUCAUGAAAUUCUCAACCUCUUCUUGCUUUGCGGCUUGAAGUAGGCUUGGAUUUGGGAGCUGCUGGUUUAACGAUCGGCUCUCCUUGAAUGCAUUAGCUGGACUUUCCGAUUUAAUAGCGGUUUCACGGUGUGAUAACUAUCUACGCCUGGUAAAUCCUAUUAGGUCUGUCUGGUCGAGCUUCUAACCAGUUCGUCCUUUGCUGGACAAACACUUUUAAGAUCUGACCUCAAAUCAGGUAGGACUACCCGCUGAACUUAAGCAUAUCAAUAAGGGGAGGAAAAGAAACUAACAAGGAUUCCCCUAGUAACUGCGAGUGAAGCGGGAAAGGCUCAAAUUUAAAAUCUGGCGGUUAUGCCGUCCGAGUUGUAAUCUGGAGAAGCGUUUUCCGUGC
rnacentral:rRNA from 1 species